AAUUUGUUCUAACGGUGGAGCAUGUGAUUUAAUACGAUAAUCCACGUAAAAUCUUACCAACAUAUUAUUUAAUUUUAUACUAAAAAAUAAUUUUUUAUAAUAAACAAAAUUAAAAUCGGUAUUGCAUGGCUGUCGUCAGUUCGUGUUUUGAAAUGUAAAAUUAAUUUUUUUUACGAACGCAACCUUUAAAAUAUUUUAUAAAAUUAAUAUUUUAAUUAAAAGCUGAAGUCAAGUCGUUUUGGUCUUUAUAUGUUGGGCUACACACGUGCUACAAUAACGAAAACAAAAAGUUACGAAUAAGUAAUUAAGAGUUAAUCUUUAAAAAUCGUUUUAGUGCAGAUUGUUUUUUGUAACUCAAAAACAUGAAGUUGGAAUCGUUAGUAAUCGUAUUUUAAUAUAGUACGGUGAAUAAAAAGUCAAAUUUUGCACACACUGCCCAUCACACUCGGAAAAUUAAAUUUAUUUUUAUAAAAAAAAUUUAAUUUUUUUUCUUGUAAAAAAAAAACUAUUUUUUUUUUUAACAUUUAGAUUUGAUAAUUU
rnacentral:rRNA from 1 species